AGGUUAUGCCUACUACACCUCUAUCAGGGUAGGUACUCGGUCAUGCUGUGGGUAUGUAGUGUACCUUAGACGUGGAUCGUCGAUGGCGUGGUGAUGAGGUUGGGUUAAAUGCCCU
rfam:Paenibacillus selenitireducens strain ES3-24 ES3-24_scaffold12, whole genome shotgun sequence.